CUUUAAAAAGACAAAGAAAAUGUCCCACAGUUUAACUGUUUCAAUAAAGAGAAGGCCAAAUAAUAUCUGAACUUCAGAAUUCUCCCCUGAGUCUCUGAAUCAGUUAAGAAAACAGAGGACUCUGUGGCUUUCUGCCUCAAGUUUCAAGAUUCCUUUUCAGGGUUGAAUUGUGGGUGUGCCCAGUAGAAUCAAAACCCUUGGUUCAACCAGAAAGAGAGUGAGAGCGAGAGCAAGACAGAGGAAGAAGGAGAGAGAGAAGAAGAGAAAGAGAGGAAGAGAGGAAGAACCUGUGAAAUUGGGUGGGUUCAUGAAGAUCUGUGAACAAAUAAAAGAACUAAGCCUAGAAGGUGAAGGUGAAGCCCCUGUGCCUGAGAGUAAAGUCCUUAAGAAGACACAGUGAAAAAAAAGAAGCAUCUAUUUUCAAGCCAGUAAGGGAGAUCUCACCAGGAAUCAACCAUGCUCAUACCUUGAUCUUGGACUUUUAGCCUCCAGGUUGAGAAAAUAAAUAUUUAAUUUUCCCAGUUUGUGGUAUAGUGUUAUGGUAGUCUAAGCUGACACUGAGUAGGCAAUUCUUAGAUAUGCCACCAAAGUUUGACCCAUAAAAACAUGCACCAUAUUAUCCAGCUACCCCCCUUCUUUGUAUGUAUCCAAAGAAAAUGAAAUAAACAUACCAAAGA